AGGAAUAUUGGUCAAUGGACGAGAGUCUGAACCAGCCAAGUAGCGUGAAGGAUGACUGCCCUAUGGGUUGUAAACUUCUUUUAUACGGGAAUAAAGUGAGGCACGUGUGCCUUUUUGUAUGUACCGUAUGAAUAAGGAUCGGCUAACUCCGUGCCAGCAGCCGCGGUAAUACGGAGGAUCCGAGCGUUAUCCGGAUUUAUUGGGUUUAAAGGGAGCGUAGGCGGACGCUUAAGUCAGUUGUGAAAGUUUGCGGCUCAACCGUAAAAUUGCAGUUGAUACUGGGUGUCUUGAGUACAGUAGAGGCAGGCGGAAUUCGUGGUGUAGCGGUGAAAUGCUUAGAUAUCACGAAGAACUCCGAUUGCGAAGGCAGCUUGCUGGACUGUAACUGACGCUGAUGCUCGAAAGUGUGGGUAUCAAACAGGAUUAGAUACCCUGGUAGUCCACACAGUAAACGAUGAAUACUCGCUGUUUGCGAUAUACAGUAAGCGGCCAAGCGAAAGCGUUAAGUAUUCCACCUGGGGAGUACGCCGGCAACGGUGAAACUCAAAGGAAUUGACGGGGGCCCGCACAAGCGGAGGAACAUGUGGUUUAAUUCGAUGAUACGCGAGGAACCUUACCCGGGCUUGAAUUGCAACUGAAUGAUGUGGAGACAUGUCAGCCGCAAGGCAGUUGUGAAGGUGCUGCAUGGUUGUCGUCAGCUCGUGCCGUGAGGUGUCGGCUUAAGUGCCAUAACGAGCGCAACCCUUAUCGAUAGUUACCAUCAGGUUAUGCCGGGGACUCUGUCGAGACUGCCGUCGUAAGAUGUGAGGAAGGUGGGGAUGACGUCAAAUCAGCACGGCCCUUACGUCCGGGGCUACACACGUGUUACAAUGGGGGGUACAGAAGGCAGCUACACGGCGACGUGAUGCUAAUCCCGAAAGCCUCUCUCAGUUCGGAUUGGAGUCUGCAACCCGACUCCAUGAAGCUGGAUUCGCUAGUAAUCGCGCAUCAGCCACGGCGCGGUGAAUACGUUCCCG
rnacentral:rRNA from 1 species